rnacentral:rRNA from 1 species
GGAGUUAUGAAAUGUAAGUGCGCUAAUAUCGUGCUUAUUUGACAAAGGCUCCAAAGGAAGCCACGGCUAACUCUGUGCCAGCAGCCGCGGUAAUACAGAGGUGGCGAGCGUUGUUCGGAAUUAUUGGGCGUAAAGAGCACGUAGGUGGGUUUGCAAGUCAGAUGUGAAAGCCUUCUGUUCAACGGAAGAAUUGCAUCUGAAACUGCUAAUCUUGAGUAUAGGAGGGGAGAGUGGAACUUCUG